rnacentral:rRNA from 1 species
AUUAAACGCUGGCGGCAGGCCUAACACAUGCAAGUCGAACGAGUGGCGGACGGGUGAUUAAUGUCUGGGAAACUGCCUGAUGGAGGGGGAUAACUACUGGAAACGGUAGCUAAUACCGCAUACCAUCGGAUGUGCCCAUAUGGGAUUAGCUUGGUGGGGGGGUAACGGGUCACCAAGGCGACGAUCCCUAGCUGGUCUGAGAGGAUGCCCAGCCACACUGGAACUGAGACACGGUCCAGACUCCUACGGUAGGCAGCAGUGGGGAAUAUUGCACAAUGGGCGAAAGCCGGAUGCAGCCAUGCCGCGUGUAUGAAGAAGGCCUUCGGGUUGUAAAGUACUUUCAGCGGGUAGGCGUUACCCGCAGAAGAAGCACCGGCUAACUCCGUGCCAGCAGCCGCGGUAAUUC